GACGAACGCUGGCGGCGUGCUUAACACAUGCAAGUCGAGCGGUAAGGCCCUUUCGGGGGUACACGAGCGGCGAACGGGUGAGUAACACGUGGGUGACCUGCCCUCAGCUCUGGGAUAAGCCUGGGAAACCGGGUCUAAUACUGGAUAUGACUCCAUGACGCAUGUUGUGGGGUGGAAAGCCUUGUGCGGCUGAGGAUGGGCCCGCGGCCUAUCAGCUUGUUGGUGGGGUGANGGCCUACCAAGGCGACGACGGGUAGCCGGCCUGAGAGGGCGACCGGCCACACUGGGACUGAGACACGGCCCAGACUCCUACGGGAGGCAGCAGUGGGGAAUCUUGGACAAUGGGCGCAAGCCUGAUCCAGCGAUGCCGCGUGUGUGAAGAAGGCCUGCGGGUUGUAAAGCACUUUCAGUAGGAAGAAAGCCGAGUGCUAAUAUCACUCGGUCUUG
rnacentral:rRNA from 1 species